rnacentral:misc_RNA from 1 species
ACACAGAAAUGCAGAUACCAACCAGCAGCAAAUAUACUUGAAAUCUUCAAUUAACGUUCAAAUAUGACUUUGUAGUUCAAGGAGAAGAAAAUACCCUGAUAUUGCAAAGAAGUCUAUGAAUCUAAGACAAGAUUUCUAAAUUUAUGAAGUUUUUAAGCUUUUUUCCCCUUUCUUUUCUUGAGCUCUAUUUGGUGUUUAACUUUUGAAUCCAAGAUAUUUCUCUGGAUGGGCAAUUUUCUCUCAAUUUUAUUACAG